rnacentral:rRNA from 1 species
AUGAUCAUGAUAUAUGCAACAACAAAUAGUAGUAGAAGUCUUCUUCUGAUGCAGCAACAGUGCCUGGCCAGCCCACCUUUUUGGUACACAAAUGUGAGACUGAUCCUGUGCCCUUAUCCUUGCAAUGAUGCACUUUUCAUGCACACAGGAUCAACCAUAUUUGUGUACAGUACGUGGGAUGGUACAAAAAUUCAAACUACUCUACAUGGUUUGAUAUGGCUACAGUUAUGUCCCUAUGAUUAUUUUCCCUGCUCUACAGUUGUGUCUACAGAAAUCCAAACUCCACAAAUGUGUGACUUGUCAGACUGA